UAGGGAAUCUUCCACAAUGGACGCAAGUCUGAUGGAGCAACGCCGCGUGAGUGAAGAAGGUUUUCGGACCGUAAAGCUCUGUUGUUGGUGAAGAAGGGUAGAGGUAGUAACUGGCCUUUAUUUGACGGUAAUCAACCAGAAAGUCACGGCUAACUACGUGCCAGCAGCCGCGGUAAUACGUAGGUGGCAAGCGUUGUCCGGAUUUAUUGGGCGUAAAGCGAGCGCAGGCGGAAGAAUAAGUCUGAUGUGAAAGCCCUCGGCUUAACCGAGGAAUUGCAUCGGAAACUGUUUUCUUGAGUGCAGAAGAGGAGAGUAGAACUCCAUGUGUAGCGGUGGAAUGCGUAGAUAUAUGGAAGAAUACCAGUGGCGAAGGCGGCUCUCUGGUCUGCAACUGACGCUGAGGCUCGAAAGCAUGGGUAGCGAACAGGAUUAGAUACCCUGGUAGUCCAUGCCGUAAACGAUGAGUGCUAAG
rnacentral:rRNA from 1 species